rnacentral:rRNA from 1 species
AGUGAACGCUGGCGGUAGGCCUAACACAUGCAAGUCGAACGGCAGCACAGUAAGAGCUUGCUCUUACGGGUGGCGAGUGGCGGACGGGUGAGGAAUAAAUCGGAAUCUACUUUUUCGUGGGGGAUAACGUAGGGAAACUUACGCUAAUACCGCAUACGACCUACGGGUGAAAGCAGGGGAUCUUCGGACCUUGCGCGAUUGAAUGAGCCGAUGUCGGAUUAGCUAGUUGGCGGGGUAAAGGCCCACCAAGGCGACGAUCCGUAGCUGGUCUGAGAGGAUGAUCAGCCACACUGGAACUGGAACACGGUCCAGACUCCUACGAGAGGCAGCAUUGGGGAAUAUUGGACAAUGGGCGCAAGCCUGAUCCAGCCAUACCGCGUGGGUGAAGAAGGCCUUCGGGUUGUAAAGCCCUUUUGUUGGGAAAGAAAAGCAGCAGGUUAAUACCCCGCUGUUCUGACGGUACCCAAAGAAUAAGCACCGGCUAACUUCGUG